GUGGGGAAUAUUGGACAAUGGGCGAAAGCCUGAUCCAGCCAUGCCGCGUGUGUGAAGAAGGUCUUCGGAUUGUAAAGCACUUUAAGUUGGGAGGAAGGGUAGUAACCUAAUACGUUGCUACUUUGACGUUACCGACAGAAUAAGCACCGGCUAACUUCGUGCCAGCAGCCGCGGUAAUACGAAGGGUGCAAGCGUUAAUCGGAAUUACUGGGCGUAAAGCGCGCGUAGGUGGUUUUGUAAGUUGGAGGUGAAAUCCCCGGGCUCAACCUGGGAACUGCCUCCAAAACUGCAUGACUAGAGUACGGUAGAGGGUAGUGGAAUUUCCUGUGUAGCGGUGAAAUGCGUAGAUAUAGGAAGGAACACCAGUGGCGAAGGCGACUACCUGGACUGAUACUGACACUGAGGUGCGAAAGCGUGGGGAGCAAACAGGAUUAGAAACCCCUGUAGUCC
rnacentral:rRNA from 1 species